CGCCGCAGCUCCUACACUCCUGCUCGUGCUCUAAACUGAAGUGCUGGGUUAAUUUUAGAAGACAUGGCGGAUUCAUGCUAUUCAGCCUCGGAAGGGUGCCAAACCACCUUCUUCUGCUGAACAGAAAUUAAGUAAAAAGGAUUCCUCCACCACAAUUUUCGACUGCAAGAAGUCUCCCAACCAUCUUAUUGUUGAUGAAGUUAUCGAUGAUGAUAAUUCCUUGGUUGCCAUGCACCCUAAUGCAAUGGACAAGCUUCAGCUUUUCUGAGGAGAUACGGUUUUAAUAGAGGGUAAGAAGAGAAGGGACACAGUUUGCAUUGUUCUUGCCGAUGAACAAUGUGAAGGACAAAAAUUUAGAAUGAUCAAGGUUGUAAGAUCCAAUCUAAGAGUACACCUUGGGAUGUUGUGUCUGUUCUUCAUCACUGUCCUUAUGUGAAGCAUGGGAACCCAGUUCAUAUCCUUCCAAUUGAUGAUACAAGUGAUGGUUUAACUAUUGACCUAGGUGUAUUUCUGCAGUCAUACUUUCUGGAAGAUUACCCACCUGUAAGAAAAGGUGACAUUUUCAUAGCUAAAGGUGCAAUAAGAACUGCUGAAUUUAAAGUAAUCGACACAGACCCUCGUGUUGUUGUACCAGAUACAAUUGUAAACUGGGAAGGAGAGCCUAUUACAGCCGUUACAAAUAUGCUACAGAGAAAGUAUUGUAGCCUGGUGAAUAUCAUGUUGUUGCACCAGAUACUAUUGUAACCUGGUGAAUAUGUCAGUGUGACUGCAAAAUACGCUAUUAGAGGAAGUAUUGAGAAGCUGGGGAUGUCAGGAUCCUGGGAGGGAGAAAAAGAAGAGAGAAAACCCUGAAAAAAUUGAAGAAGAUGAAAUUGAUGAUGUUGCUGAUAUAAAAGGCAGCACUUUGAGGAAUCAAUAAAACAUGCUCGCUGAAGUGUUAGCAAUGAGAUAUCAGGAAGUACCAGCUCUUUCCUCAGAUAUAGCAGCAAUCCCAUGUAUUUGGUUCUGGAUUUCGUUUUCCAGAAAGAAGAGAAAAUGCCACCAGAGGAGCAUCAGACCCAUUUUCUUCUGCCGCAGCUGCUGGUGAUGAUGAUGAUCUGUACAGCUGAAUUGAAACCAUUUCAUUUUGAAGCGCUUGUUACACAUGGGAUGGGGUUCUAAAGAACGGAGUUGUUGGCCAUUAAACCUUGCCCUGGAAAAUGUGAUGUUAACAUCAAAAGAGCAGAAAACCUGAGGAUUCACCUUCUGAUUCUAUAAAUUGCUGAACCAAUGGUCAUAAUGACAAAGCUGUGCUGAAAGUGAUCCAUCAUUAGUCCGUCCUUUGCCCCUAUCUUUCGACUUGAUGACCUAUGGGGUGAUGUGGGAUCGCCUCCCCUGCUGCAUGUGGUGGACCUUUUUACCUUUAGAUUUCCUCACUAACAAAAUACAGCAUUCAUCAUGUCCUUGCGGGAUAUGUUGGAAAUCUUUGAUGUGCCUUUUCUUCUUCCCAGUUUCCCAAAAUAUAUGGUAAAUGGUUUAUUUUCCUUCUCUUAAUUCUUUAUUGGUACAAAUCAGAAUACAUGGUUUAUUUCCAGGAGGUCUUGUUCUUUGUUUCGCGAAUCAGGCCCAUCGCACCAGAUGAUAAUCUCCCAUGAGGGCUCCAUUAGGUUGUAAAAGUCUCUGGAUUUUUUUGUCAGCUUUACCACAUGCGGCAGGUAAAUGCAAAUCAGGUGCUGAAGUAGCUAUUUAACUUGAUUUCUCUUGCUGCAUUAGGAAAUAGUAGUAGUAAUGUUGAUUUUACUGUCAGAAAACUUCCUGGAAGUUUUUCAUUUGCAUCUGAUUAGAAAAGGAAGAGACGAAAGCUGAUGCAUGGGUGUGAAUUUGCCAACUGCUGCUAAUUAAACUUAACCAAGACUGACAUGAUCAAAAGGUUGCUUGGAAUUUGGAUGCAUAACCAGUCUCCGAAGCUGAUGAGUAAGUUAUUUGAGAAAGACAGACAGCCAGCCAGCCAACCAAACGUACUGAUCGAAAGUGCAUGCAAAUUUGUAGAUUGAUUUAACAUUUGAAGGGAUGUCUCGUUUUGCUUGUAGUUGUAGCUAGAAGCUUUGUUUUUUCACAUGAUCACAUCCCCAAUAUUCCAUUAUCAAAA
rnacentral:sRNA from 1 species